rnacentral:tRNA from 1 species
GCCGAAGUGGCGAAACUGGCAGACGCGCACGACUCAAACUCGUGUGAGCUUAGCUCAUGUGGGUUCGAUUCCCACCUUCGGCA